rnacentral:rRNA from 1 species
GCGUAGUCGAUGGGAAACAGGUUAAUAGUCCUGUACCUUUAUGCAAUGCGAUGGGGGGACGGAGAAGGUUAGGUGGGCCGGGUGUUGGAUGUCCCGGUUCAAGCGUGUAGGCGUGCCCGGUAGGCAAAUCCGCUGGGCUUAGCCGAGGCGUGAUGACGCAAGGCUCUUCGGAGUCCCAAGCCACUGAGACCCCGCUUCCAGGAAAAGCCUCUAAGCUUCAGUUGCAUGAAGACCGUACCGCAAACCGACACAGGUGGGCAGGAUGAAGAUUCUAAGGCGCUUGAGAGAACUCAGGAGAAGGAACUCGGCAAAUUAGCACCGUAACUUCGGGAGAAGGUGCGCCCUUGUAGCGUGAAGGCCCUUGCGGCUGGAGCGUGACGGGGUUGCAGUGAAAUGGUGGCUGCGACUGUUUAAUAAAAACACAGCACUCUGCAAAGGCGAAAGCCGACGUAUAGGGUGUGACGCCUGCCCGGUGCCGGAAGGUUAAGUGAUGGGGUGCAAGCUCUUGAUCGAAGCCCCGGUAAACGGCGGCCGUAACUAUAACGGUCCUAAGGUAGCGAAAUUCCUUGUCGGGUAAGUUCCGACCUGCACGAAUGGCGUAACGAUGGCCACACUGUCUCCUCCUGAGACUCAGCGAAGUUGAAGUGUUUGUGAAGAUGCAAUCUCCCCGCUGCUAGACGGAAAGACCCCAUGCACCUUUACUGUAGCUUUGCAUUGGACUUUGAUGAGACUUGUGUAGGAUAGGUGGGAGGCUUUGAAACCGGGAUGCUAGUUCCGGUGGAGCCGUCCUUGAAAUACCACCCUGGUGUCAUUGAGGUUCUAACCUGGGCCCCUUAACGGGGUCGGGGACCGUGCAUGGCAGGCAGUUUGACUGGGGCGGUCUCCUCCCAAAGGGUAACGGAGGAGUUCGAAGGUUCGCUAGGUACGGUCGGACAUCGUACUGAUAGUGCAUUGGCAAAAGCGAGCUUGACUGCGAGACGGACAUGUCGAGCAGGUGCGAAAGCAGGACAAAGUGAUCCGGUGGUUCUGUAUGGAAGGGCCAUCGCUCAACGGAUAAAAGGUACGCUGGGGAUAACAGGCUGAUGACUCCCAAGAGUUCAUAUCGACGGAGUCGUUUGGCACCUCGAUGUCGGCUCAUCACAUCCUGGGGCUGUAGCCGGUCCCAAGGGUAUGGCUGUUCGCCAUUUAAAGUGGUACGUGAGCUGGGUUUAAAACGUCGUGAGACAGUUUGGUCCCUAUCUGCAGUGGGCGUUGGAGAUUUGACGGGGGCUGCUCCUAGUACGAGAGGACCGGAGUGGACGCACCUCUGGUGUACCGGUUAUGACGCCAGUCGUAUCGCCGGGUAGCUAUGUGCGGAAGAGAUAACCGCUGAAAGCAUCUAAGCGGGAAACUUGCCUGAAGAUGAGAUCUCCCGGAGGCUUGACCUCCCUGAAGGGUCGUGGAAGACCACCACGUUGAUAGGCCGGGUGUGGAAGCGCAGUAAUGCGUUAAGCUAACCGGUACUAAUUGCCCGUGCGGCUUGAUCCU